UCUGAAAUUUUAAUGACAAACAAAAUAGAUUGCAACCUCACAAAUCACUCCCUCACGUGUUUACUCUCGUAGUAUGGGCACUCGUGUUUCACUCAAUUUUGGCUUUUACCCUCUUUUGAGCUCACACUCUCUUGCUUUUUACCACUCAAGCAUUCUUUUAUAACUUUAUAUAAAAGGACCAAUUCAAACAACAAUUAAUUAUCACUAUAUACUCAAUUUUAAUUAGAGAUAACAAAA
rnacentral:lncRNA from 1 species